rnacentral:rRNA from 1 species
UACGGGAGGCAGCAGUGGGGAAUAUUGCACAAUGGGCGCAAGCCUGAUGCAGCCAUGCCGCGUGUAUGAAGAGGGCCUUCGGGUUGUAAAGUACUUUCAGUCGUGAGGAAGGUGUUAAGGUUAAUAACCUUAGCAAUUGACGUUAGCGACAGAAGAAGCACCGGCUAACUCCGUGCCAGCAGCCGCGGUAAUACGGAGGGUGCGAGCGUUAAUCGGAAUUACUGGGCGUAAAGGGCACGCAGGCGGUUAAUUAAGUUGGAUGUGAAAUCCCCGGGCUUAACCUGGGGAUGGCAUUCAAGACUGGUUAGCUAGAGUCUUGUAGAGGGGGUUAGAAUUCCAUGUGUAGCGGUGAAAUGCGUAGAGAUGUGGAGGAAUACCGGUGGCGAAGGCGGCCCCUGGACAAAGGACUGACGCUCAUGUGCGAAAGCGUGGGGAGCAAACAGGGAUUAGAUACC